UACGGAGGGGGCUAGCGUUGUUCGGAAUUACUGGGCGUAAAGCGCACGUAGGCGGCUUUGCAAGUUAGAGGUGAAAGCCCGGGGCUCAACUCCGGAAUUGCCUUUAAAACUGCGUCGCUAGAAUUGUGGAGAGGUAAGUGGAAUUCCGAGUGUAGAGGUGAAAUUCGUAGAUAUUCGGAAGAACACCAGUGGCGAAGGCGACUUACUGGACACAUAUUGACGCUGAGGUGCGAAAGCGUGGGGAGCAAACAGG
rnacentral:rRNA from 1 species